CAAGUUAAUCUCCUAAUUACUCCUCUAAUUUCAAGAGAGUCCACAAGUGAUUGACCCUUUUGGCGCACAACAAUUUCACCGCAGCUGAUUGAUAUUGAAUUGGCCAAAUGCGAACAAAGCAAACGCACAUGAUACAUGGCCGAGACAACAGUCCUCUUGGGCCUUUCAUCUUCCCUUCAAUUUCCCACACUGACUUUUUGAAUCAUCAAACGCUUCCAAAAUCGUUCCCACGAUAGUCAUAAGGCGAUCCACUGUCACAGAGCACGGUUCAAGAAAAGCAAAGACUGGUGGUGACCCAGUAGUCCCCCCAUCAGCAAUGGCUAAAGGCUGUUUCGCCAUGGUCGCUCUUCCGCUUUUUCUUUCAGAAGCUUCUUCCGAGAGGGCUUUCAGCUUUCUCUCUCACUCCAACUGAGCCCAGUUUCGAUUUCUCUACUAGAUGGGACGUCUUUAUUUGAGGUGCAGGCGCCGCCAUGGGCUGGAUUUACGCUACUUGUGCUGUAAUCCACCUGCAUUCUGUUGGUAUAGAAACCAGGAGCCCUUUCUCAUCAAUCGCGUGAAGCUGGAUCCUCUUACUCUUUUGCACCCAAAGCAAAGAAGCCUGCUCACUUAGUGUUGUUGGUCCCCUCUCAUCGAAGUAUUCCAACAGACCUGGAUUAAAGAAGCUCAACUCCAUAUCUUUGAUGUUGGAUGCCCAAGCAUAUCUAACCCAGAUGUCAAUUCUUUUGGUCGAUCCAUCGUAGACAUCAUAAAGGAAAGUCAAUUGGAAUCUGUCCAGGGUGCAACCUGAGUGUAGUAGGAGAGUUCGGUCUACAACAUCUGCAAACAUCCUCCUUGCUACCUUAAUCAAAUGCUUUUGGCAACAAGUAGCAGAAGAAGUCCAAAUGCCCUCACAGAUGGUGCAGUAGAAAUUGCUUCUCAGCAACUUAGCAAUGAUCUCUAUUUCGUUAAUAUUUAGUCGAGAAAUCUUUGUCCAAAGGCAUAGCCGUCCACCGGACGAUAUCCUUAACUGGAGUCCUAUCAAAUAACUCUGUGGCUUUGUCAAGCUGACUGCAUUUCACAUACCCAGAAAUUAUGCUCGUCCAACAGAUAACAAUCUUAGUUGGCAUCUCAUCAAAUAUUUUGCAAGCUAUGUCCAAAUGGCCACAUUUCGAUUACAUUUGAACCUGGAGACUGUUUUUAGGCAGGCUGUCCAUGAGUAGAGGAGGAGAUUCGUGAAGCACUUCCUUAUGUUUAUUGGAAUUGAACGAAGACCUCACUUUUUCGGGGAAAAACAGUGGAAGGGGUGGACAGUACUACAUUUUCUCGAGAGAUGGGGAUGGGAAUUCUUGCUCAUAAUUGAUGAAUGUGGAAUGCCACCAUGCAAGAGAAGUCCUGUAUUCAAUUAGUGAGUUGUGAUAUGUAGUCAAUUUGAUCCUGUUAUAAAAAGCAUGAACGAAACGAUACAGUUAAGAUGCCUGUUGAUUUUUUGGCUUCAACUGACUUGACUGAACUGGGAUUUUUCCCUGCAUAGUAUCUGAAGAAUUAAGAUUUAAUAAAAGAAACAAAUGUAAUUGACAGAUGUCUACAAGUAUUUUGUUAGGGAUGGCAAAGCAUAUUUACUCAUUUUUUGGGGACUUACAUGUACGCAUCAACCUGAAUGCAACCUAUUCAUCAUAACUCUGGGAGAUGGAUCCAUAUUCCUUACUAUUAAAAUGGACCGCUUGACACUAUUUGAAGGCUUAGUCUGUAACUUACAUUUUGCAAUCACACAGCUCCAAUGGGCAAUUUUGCAAGAACGUCUGAAUAAUGAACUCUUUCAUUUUCAUUCCUGAAUAGUAUAAGUAAGCAUUAAUGAUGUUAUCUCGAAUCCAACCAAUCGUAAGAAGGUGAUUGUUAUUACUCUUUGACCAAUUGGCUGACUUGGUAUAAAUAUUAAGCGAUGUUAGGAAACCUUAGAGGUAGCAUAUAAAUGCCAAAAUAGGUCAAAACUGAGUAGGUUUUUGACUCAACUCAUGAGCAUCCAACCUUGGUGGGCCAAUCGUAUGUUCCUUUCUUAGUGAUUGACUGAACAUCAUUUGUAAAUAAUAUGAAAGACUAUCUUUAAACGUGUUGAGUACCAUUUGUAGCUCUAAUGAAAAGAUGACCAUUUGUUUUGAUUUGCAUUAGCAUCGCUAAGAAACUGCUAAUUAAUAUAGAUGAUCUUACUUUUAUGGGAUGUGAGGCAGUGCAAUAUCAUGUGUAUUGCAUGCUUUCUGCAGAAGAAGCAGCGUACCAUCUAUCAUACUGUUUCUUGCUUAGCCUUUGCUUGGUGUCUCAAGUGAUCAAGAUCGGAUCCUUAAAACAUUCAGGGGAAAGGAUGUUGAAAUCAAGAUAAGAUAUUUUGACGAAUGUGUGAAGAUAAGUUUUCCGUGGAUGAAUUUUGCCAUGUUGUGAAUUGAAAGCAUAUUAAAGAACAAAAAUGAUCUAUGAUGCUCACGAAUGGUAAUAAAUUUCCAUCAUUUGUGGUUUGAGGAUACAUUGAAGGUUGUGAUGGAGGCUUAGGGAAACAACAUAGUUAAUGCUGGAUUGAAGAUUUCUUUCCUCUGUACAUGACACUUACUGCAGCAUACUUACCUUAUUUGAACUAGAAGUCCAUCUUUUAAUGACCGUAGCUUGUUUGUCUUUUCUCCAUGCUUCAUAAGAUUUUUCAACCAGUUCCAUGUUAUAAAUCACCUCUGUCGCCCUUCUGACUGGCUGGAGGAAUGCCUAAUCAAUUAGUUUGUUACUCUACUUUGCACCUUUGGUCCAUUUUCUGAAGCAAGACCCUCUGUGAGUAAUGAAUGACUCUUUUCAUCUGAGAAACUUCCAGGCUGUAAAAUUUGCAUAUGUCAGUGUGCUCACUCUCCUUUAUUCACUUAAUGGAUGCUGAUUCACGAUGCCUCAUGCUAGUCCUGACAUAAAUAUUCUUGGAAUAAGCUGGCAAAGGAAAAUCUUGCUUAUUUGGGUAAUAAGCCAGAGGCUGGGUUGAAAUGAGAAACCCUCCAAUUGGCAUUUGGCUUCGAUUAUUCAACUAUACAAUACUAUAAUUUGAAUGGGCAGAUGGAGAUAUACAAAUUUUCAGCGAAGAUGCAGUGAUGUGCAUGUUCAAAAAAAUUAAAAGGAUAAGUGCUUGCGUAUUGCUCUGUCACUAGGAUAUGCAUUGCAAACAUUGCCUUGGAGAAAAUUUUCUCCACAAGCUCCUUUAAUCGCUGUUGAUGUGUUUGUGAAGUUGUGGGUAGCUACACCAACAUCAGCUGUUGUGGAAACUGCUUCUGGAGAAAGUUUUCUCCGCUGGCAUUGUUUCUAAGAACUGUCCCUAUCAAUCUCAAUAUUGCUUCAAUUAUCUAUAGGAGAAAGCAUCUAUUAGACGACCUUGAGAGAUUUUCCUGUUCUUUAGUUCAGUAGAUUGAAAUGACUCCAGAUGGUUUUGAUCUGUGCUCUUAAUCUAUGGCUAAUGAUCUCCGCUGUUGGCUGCAGUGAGUCAGCGACCGCUAUAAACUGCGGCAAGCCUAGGACCUGCUAUGUGUAAUAUCACUGGAAUACUCCGUGGAAUUGAUUUUCUUUCUCAAUAGUAGUUUCUCCAAUUCAUCUUCUACCAUAUCUUCUGGAUCAUUUUCACACCUGCUGCAUAGUGACCUUCCCAAGUCAUCGCCACCAUUUUGGAGUAUCUUGUCUGUUAGAAUUCAUGUGAUUAAUGAGAAGCCACGAGACAUGGACUCUUUGCCUCCUUUGUAUAUCACUGAGUUUGUUAGGUCUGUAGUAAGAUCGGCUGCUGUCGUGCAUACCGUGGCCUCUGGCAAGUGUUGUUGAUAUCUCAGAGCUAAUAAAAAGAUGUCACGUAUGCCUUCUCCUAUCAUAA